rnacentral:rRNA from 1 species
UACGGAGGGGGCUAGCGUUGUUCGGAAUUACUGGGCGUAAAGCGCGCGUAGGCGGCUUUGUAAGUUAGAGGUGAAAGCCCGGAGCUCAACUCCGGAACUGCCUUUAAGACUGCAUCGCUAGAACGUCGGAGAGGUAAGUGGAAUCCCGAGUGUAGAGGUGAAAUUCGUAGAUAUUGGGAAGAACACCCGUGGCUAAGGCGGCUCUCUAGUACGGUACUGACGCUGAGACGCGAAAGCGUGGGGGAGCGAACAGG